UACGUAGGGUGCGAGCGUUGUCCGGAAUUAUUGGGCGUAAAGAGCUUGUAGGCGGUCUGUCGCGUCUGCUGUGAAAAUCCGGGGCUCAACCCCGGACUUGCAGUGGGUACGGGCAGACUAGAGUGUGGUAGGGGAGACUGGAAUUCCUGGUGUAGCGGUGAAAUGCGCAGAUAUCAGGAGGAACACCGGUGGCGAAGGCGGGUCUCUGGGCCGAUACUGACGCUGAAAAGCGAAAGCCAGGGGAGCAAACGGG
rnacentral:rRNA from 1 species